UACGGUGGGAGCUAGCGUUGUUCGGAAUUACUGGGCGUAAAGCGCACGUAGGCGGUUAUUCAAGUCAGAGGUGAAAGCCCGGGGCUCAACCCCGGAACGGCCUUUGAAACUAGAUAGCUAGAAUCUUGGAGAGGUCAGUGGAAUUCCGAGUGUAGAGGUGAAAUUCGUAGAUAUUCGGAAGAACACCAGUGGCGAAGGCGACUGACUGGACAAGUAUUGACGCUGAGGUGCGAAAGCGUGGGGAGCAAACAGG
rnacentral:rRNA from 1 species